UCGUGUCAAGCUGUGUGCAUC
rnacentral:miRNA from 1 species